GGCGCGUUGGCGGAGCAGUUACGCAGAGGUCUGCAAAACCUCGUAGACCAGUGCAACUCUGGUACGCGCCUCCA
rnacentral:tRNA from 1 species